rnacentral:lncRNA from 1 species
GGGGAUUGAUGGUCGGGGGUCAGUGGCGUCGGGCGUCAGGGGUCAGGGGUCGAGGGUCAGUUUUGGGGUGCCGGGGUUCCCUUUUCCUCUUCUUUCUUCUUCUCCUCUCUCCUCUUUUUCUUCUUCUUCUUCUUUUCUUCUUCUUCUUCUUCUUCUUCUUCUUCUUAUUCUUCUUCUUCUUUUUUCUCCUCCUCCUCCCCUCCUCUUUUUCUCCUCCUCUUCUUUUUAUUUUUCUUCUUCUUCUUCUUCCUCUUCUUCUUCUUCUN